GUAAUGAAGGAGCUGAUGGCCAAUGCCUCCUGGAGCACAGAUCUGACCUUGCUGCAGCAGCUGACUCAUGCUGUCCUACACAGAAUAGAAGCAGACGGCCCUCACCUCCUGACAUCGGACGACAUCCUCUCCCUCUCCCAGCUGAUUGAUGGGAUUGCAGCUGGCACUUCCUUUGCAGGAACAAAUUCAAUAGAGGCCAUGCUAUCCAUUGCUACAAAUUAUGUAAACUUUGCCAACGUGAUGCUGGAGCCAGACAUGGCUGCGCAGUGGUUUGGUCUAACCGAGUAUGGGGUAAGAAUUAAUCAAGAUUAUACACAUUUUAAUUGAUGAAGUAAUGCUUUUUCCCAGAUAACGGCCAUUAUCUGAACUCUUUGUGAAGGUUAGUGUUGGACCAUUUACUAUAAUCAAAAGCAUUGAUCAUCUCACUGAGGCUCUUGCAGACACACUGGUUGCAGAGCAAAGAGACUUCUCUCUUUCCACUAAAAACAUAGGUAACGUUGCAUUUCUUCCCUAUAAUGUUGUUUUUGUACAAAUAUUUUUAUUGAUGCUGUGUAUCCUGUCAGUUGUGUACAUGAAGUUGCAGAAACUUUCUCAGGAAAGCUGUAAACAAGUCUUCAGACCAUCUCAGCAGCACAGUCUCGAUGAGUUGAUUAUACCGGACUCUGAACUCCAGAGGGUACACGCUCUAGGACACCAGGAGGUGAUGUUUAUUCAUACCCACUACACCCACCUCAGUAAAAUUAUGUCUGGACCAGAUGAGCCUGUGCUGAGGCAACAAGACAAAGGAUCAAGUGUUCUACAAGGUCACCUAACUUCUGCUGUCAUAUCGGCCACCGUCAGAGAUGCUGCAAAGGGUCUAACUGCUCCUGUGGCCGUUCAGUACACCCUUUCUUCAUCACAUGUGGCGGCGUACCCAAAGAGAGUUGUUCCUGUUUGUGCUUUUUGGAAUUUCAGUCUGAUGCAUACUCAUACAAGUAGUUGGUCCAGGGAUGGCUGUGCGGUGACCCUAGCCAGCUCUGGUGUCACUUCCUGUCUGUGUAACCACACCACCAACUUUGCAGUCCUGAUGAAUUAUCUUGAAUCCAAGGUAAGCAGAGCUGUUUCAGGCUGGAGAGAUGGAUCCGAGUGUGAUGAUGUACUAGUAUGUAAAAGACACAGAGGAGUGCGAUUUUUAUUUUUAUUUUAUUUUAUUUAUUUUUUACUCACUAUUUGUCUACCCAUCUUUAACCCCCCCCCNNNNNNNNNNCACACACACACACACACACACACUUCCCAUCACCAUCUCUUCUCUGGUCCAGUGGAGUCCUGA
rnacentral:lncRNA from 1 species